UACGUAGGGUGCAAGCGUUGUCCGGAAUUAUUGGGCGUAAAGAGCUCGUAGGCGGUUUGUCGCGUCUGCUGUGAAAACUCGGGGCUUAACUCCGGGCCUGCAGUGGGUACGGGCAGACUAGAGUGCGGUAGGGGAGACUGGAAUUCCUGGUGUAGCGGUGAAAUGCGCAGAUAUCAGGAGGAACACCGGUGGCGAAGGCGGGUCUCUGGGCCGAUACUGACGCUGAGGAGCGAAAGCAUGGGUAGCGAAUAGG
rnacentral:rRNA from 1 species